rnacentral:rRNA from 1 species
AUUGAACGCUGGCGGCAGGCCUAACACAUGCAAGUCGAGCGGAUGAAGGGAGCUUGCUCCUGGAUUCAGCGGCGGACGGGUGAGUAAUGCCUAGGAAUCUGCCUGGUAGUAGGGGAUAACGUCCGGAAACGGGCGCUAAUACCGCAUACGUCCUGAGGGAGAAAGUGGGGGAUCUUCGGACCUCACGCUAUCAGAUGAGCCUAGGUCGGAUUAGCUAGUUGGUGGGGUAAAGGCCUACCAAGGCGACGAUCCGUAACUGGUCUGAGAGGAUGAUCAGUCACACUGGAACUGAGACACGGUCCAGACUCCUACGGGAGGCAGCAGUGGGGAAUAUUGGACAAUGGGCGAAAGCCUGAUCCAGCCAUGCCGCGUGUGUGAAGAAGGUCUUCGGAUUGUAAAGCACUUUAAGUUGGGAGGAAGGGCAGUAAGUGAAUACCUUGCUGUUUUGACGUUACCAACAGAAUAAGCACCGGCUAACUUCGUG